rnacentral:rRNA from 1 species
UGGGAACGCGAAGAACCUUACCUAGACUUGACAUCUCCUGAAUUACCCUUAAUCGGGGAAGCCCUUCGGGGCAGGAAGACAGGUGGUGCAUGGUUGUCGUCAGCUCGUGUCGUGAGAUGUUGGGUUAAGUCCCGCAACGAGCGCAACCCUUAUUGUUAGUUGCUACCAUUUAGUUGAGCACUCUAGCGAGACUGCCCGGGUUAACCGGGAGGAAGGUGGGGAUGACGUCAAAUCAUCAUGCCCCUUAUGUCUAGGGCUACACACGUGCUACAAUGGCUGGUACAGAGAGAUGCUAAACCGUGAGGUGGAGCCAAACUUUAAAACCAGUCUCAGUUAGGAUUGUAGGCUGAAACUCGCCUACAUGAAGCUGGAGUUGCUAGUAAUCGCGAAUCAGAAUGUCGCGGUGAAUACGUUCCCGGGUCUUGUACACACCG